rnacentral:rRNA from 1 species
GACACCUCUGGAGACAGAGCUUUCCCCUUCGGGGGACAGAGUGACAGGUGGUGCAUGGUUGUCGUCAGCUCGUGUCGUGAGAUGUUGGGUUAAGUCCCGCAACGAGCGCAACCCUUGUCCUUAGUUGCCAGCAUUUAGUUGGGCACUCUAAGGAGACUGCCGGUGACAAACCGGAGGAAGGUGGGGAUGACGUCAAAUCAUCAUGCCCCUUAUGACCUGGGCUACACACGUGCUACAAUGGAUAGAACAAAGGGCAGCGAAGCCGCGAGGUGAAGCCAAUCCCAUAAAUCUAUUCUCAGUUCGGAUUGCAGGCUGCAACUCGCCUGCA